GUUUCUUUGGAGACAUCCAAUAAAAUUGGAAUGAUACAAAGAAGAUUAAGAUGACCCUUGCAUGAGGAUGACAUGCACAAAUCAAGAUGUCCAAUUUCUUU